rnacentral:rRNA from 1 species
AUUGAACGCUGGCGGCAGGCCUAACACAUGCAAGUCGAACGAGUGGCGGACGGGUGAGUAAUGUCUGGGAAACUGCCCGAUGGAGGGGGAUAACUACUGGAAACGGUAGCUAAUACCGCAUACCAUCGGAUGUGCCCAGAUGGGAUUAGCUAGUAGGUGGGGUAACGGCUCACCUAGGCGACGAUCCCUAGCUGGUCUGAGAGGAGGACCAUCCACACUGACACUGCGACACGGUCCAGACUCCUACGGUAGGUAGCAGUGGGGAAUAUUGCACCAUUGGCGCAAGCCUGAUGCAGCCAUGCCGCGUGUAGGAAGAAGGCCUUCGGGUUGGAAAGUACUUUCAGCGAGGAGGCGUUACUCGCAGAAGAAGCACCGGCUAACUCCGUGCCAGCAGCCGCGGUAAUAC